rnacentral:lncRNA from 1 species
CGGGGAGGAGCCCAGAGUUUGGAGGCUUUCCAUAACUCUCCAUCAACUAACAUCAAGUGUUGGGCAGAGAAAACAUUUGACCAAUUUUGUUGCUUGAUUGUGAGAGGCAACCCUUGAGGAUGCAGGAAGGCAGGAGCUUCACAGUGGCUGAGAUGCUACCAAAUAGCAGCCACGAGAAGAUGCUCUUUCCCUCUGGUACCUCAUACAGCUCUGCUUGUGCUCCUGCUGGGGCAGCACUGACCCCCCCCCUUCCCCACCCUUUGUUUUUGCUUUUUAUGGCAUAUGGAAGCUCCCAGGCUAAGGGUCCAAUCAGAGCUGCAGCUGCUGGUCUACACCACAGCCACAGCAAGUUCCCAUCUGAGCUGCAUUUGCGAUCUACACCACAGCUCUUGGCAAUGCAGCUUUCUUAACCCAAGGGGCAAGGCCAGGGAUUAGACCUGUAUCCUCAUGGGUACUUGUUGGGUUCUUAACCCACUGAGCCACAACAGGAACUCCCAGCUCUGUGAUUCUCAAAGUGUGGUCCAAGAUUAGCCAUAUCAGCAUCACCUUGGGCCCUGCCCAACCUACUAAAUCAGAAUUGCACUGAAAAUCGAUGCUCAAUAAGCCCUCCAGGGGGAAGUGGAUUUAUGCUCCAAUGCAUGUGCGCCCAUUGCCCGGGGGCCCUAGGUGCCAGAUCCUCCCAAGGGGACUCAGCAGGACCUUGAACUGACAAUGAUGGAAACAGGGAAUGCCGUGCCCCCUCAAAUCCUUUGCCCUCUAAUGUUACAGUUUGGGGAGGAGGUGACCAGGAAACUGAGAGGCAAGAUAGGAUUUUAAUGUCUUCACCUUUUAAGUGGUGGUGGGAUCAAGGGUCCUAUUCUGAUGGAAUGCCUAUGAUUUGGGAUUGAGAGGGAAUUUCUACUGUGGGGGAGAGAGAAGAGCAUUGAGAAGCUAGCAAGUGACUUUCCCCUUUCUCCCUGCCCGCAUCAUCAAGUGCCUUCCUGAUGAACAAUGGCCGUCUUCUGGGGCCACGUGCUCUAAGGAUGAUUCUGAGCAAAAACUGGAUAUAACUCAUCUAACACUCUUCUAUGUAAGAACUUCCACAGUGUCUGGAGUUGCCUGAGCAGGCUUGGAUCAUGAGUGUGUCAAGCUGGAGAAGGGCCAGGAGGAAGCUGGUCUAUGCCAAGUACGUGGAGUGGAGUCCUUUCCCCUUAGCUCCUUUGCUAAGUGUGAGGCUCUGCUUACACUGGAGGGGUACUCCCACUCUCAGUCUCAAUGACUCCAUAACAUGCCACUCAAGGGAUGAGCAAGCCACUUUUGCAGAACCCAGAAGAUCAGCACCACGCCCACACCUAGAGAGAAGCUUCCCUGGUGCUCACAGGAGUCCUCGCAAAAGGUAGAGAACCGGGACGAAUGGGCAAGAAGGGGAACUCAGUGUCCCCAUUCUGCCCCACCCCAGCUCUGUCACCUUGGUCAAGUUACAGUUCCCUUCUUUUCCCAUAAUUGCUGCCUAUAUCCCCUGCAUCUCCUCCGCCACCCAGCCCUGACCUAGGAGGCGAGCUAAUGCGAUCUUCCAAGAUACAUUUAGAGCUGGCCUUGCAGCAGCAGUACAGAAGCCCCGAGUUUGGCCUUGAUCUUCCAGUGGGAGAGCAGGGAUUCCAGCUCGGCGGGGUUCACCAGCAGAGAUGGCCCAUGUCUGUGCAUCAGCUGCGAGGGGCAGUGAUAAGACCACACAUCUGGGCACAGCUCAAAGGAGGAUGACCAGCUAGUCCUUGUUUUCCAGGGACUUUCCUGGCUUUGACACUGAAAGUCCCAGGCAAAUCAGGAGUGUUGGUCACCUUCACUCAAAGCCCAGCCCGUCCUUGCCUUGUCACGUGACCUCAUCUCUGGGAAGCUUGGUUCUAUUGUUUGUAAGAAAGAGACUGUGACCAUGAUGACAAUAAGGUACCAGUGGGUGCUCAACGCUGGUUAUUCCUACCUGGAAGCCGAAGAAACCGGCUGUCCCAUCCUCCUGAGGUUCCCAGAUCCUGGCUUGCCCUGACUGGGCAUCAGGCAUGCUUUACUGGAAUGGUCUGCUCCUACCUAUGACCCCAUGGGCGGGGUGCUCCUGGGGGGCGGCAACCACAUCCCACUCAGUUUCAAAAAGCCAAUGGCAACAGCUGGCACCUAGUGGAUACUGAGCAUCCAGUGUUUAGCCCUUGACUUGUUUGGUUUCACUUAACCCUCCCAACCCCUUGGGAGGUCAGCAGAGGUAUUAUUAUUAUUAUUAUUAUUAUUUUGUCUUUUGUCUUUUUAGGGCCAUACCCACGGCCUAUGGAGGUUCCCGGGCUAGGGGUCUAAACGGAGCUGUAGCUGCCGGCCUACAGCACAGCCACAGCAAUGCGGGAUCCUUAACCAACUGAGCGAGGCCAGGGAUUGAACUCGCAACCUCAUGGUUCCUAGUCGGAUUUGUUUCCACUGUGCCAUGAUGGGAACUCCAGCCAAGGUAUUAUGAGCACCCCUAUUUUACAGACAGGGAGGCCCAGACUUAGAGAGCAGAAGUGACUUGCCCAAGGUCAUGCAGCUGGAAAGUGGAUUUCAACCCUAGCGGUUGUCUUUGCCAGAUGUAAACUAGAACAGGGUCCCAGGGCACAGUGGCCUUUAUAGGCCCAUAGAUGCCUGAAAAAUGCCGCCUAUGUCCCCAUUGUCUCCCCAGCUCAGCUUUAGUAAAAACGCGGUCUCUGACCUGCCACCCUCCUCUGCCGUGCGUGUAGAUCCAAGGAGUCCCCAGGCCCGAGGCAGAGAUGCCCCCGGUGGCCCCGUUUCCAUGACUCCCACUGAAUCCUCCUCAUGGGCAGCCAAGGAGGCUGCUCAACUUGAGAGCGUGGAGACCAUUUCAUCGCCUAAUCAAUAACCCCGUUAUUGACUUGGUGUUCCCAGAGGACAGGUUUAUAACUUUAUCGAGCCCUGCAUGUGGGGACAAUGAUGAGGAUAAUGGAAAGUCAUCGACAAAUGCAGGCUUCUGCAUUGCAAAUUAACAUCUGCUCGAGUAAGAGAGAAGUUGUGUUUUAGUUUCAGGAUUGGUAAAAAUGGAGAUGCCCGUAAAAUAAAGUGUGUGAUAUACGGCAGGUUCCAGCAUCACGCCAUGGCCUGGCUCGUCGCUAGGCCCCAGGGACUGCGGCUGUCCCCGUGGAAUGUGCUCACGGGGGUGUCCAGUGUGUCGUCCAAAAGCACUCACUCUCUCUCCGUUUUCCUGGGUCCGGAAACAACUUUCACCCGGAGUCUUCCUGUGCGGAGCGCGGGCAGCCCAGGGAAUACACCCAGACGUGUCCCUCGGAGCCUCUGCUUGGUUGUCCUCACACAGGAGGCUCUGGGAAGGGAAUGGGCCCAGGGGAUCGCGUUCCUGUCCCAGUUCCGUGUGGCUCCAGGGAAGUUGCUUCAGUUCAAUGGGCCUCGUUGCCCCCGUCUGUAAAGUGGGGCUGUGUGUCUCUUUGCACCAAAGGAUCGUAUGAGAUAAGCUGGUACAAUUAGACUUUACAAGUCUCAUAUCACAGGCUCGUGUGCCCAGCCCUUGGCCUCUGGUGUGCGGGGCACCACGCUAUAGCCAUUGGGAACAAGGUGAAUCCUCUGUCUCCCAUAGGAUCAUGGCCUAGAGGGAGAACAGACAAUAGGCGGAAAAACAUACAACUUCUGAGAGUGACCAGGAAUGAGACGAAGCAGGUGGGAGGGUCAAGGUGAUGGCAGGGCCGGGGUUAGACAAGGCUUCUCCGGGCAGUGAUGUUGCAGCCGAGAUGGGAAGUACAAGGUUGAGUGCGCUGAGGGGAGAACAUUCCAGGUGCAACGAGCCACGGGGGCAAAGGCCAAGAGCCAGGCCAGUGCUCCGAGCAGCCUGGAGGCCCCUUCCUGCUGGAGCCUAGAGCAGGGGAGCAAAGGAGGUGGGGGAGCCAAAACAGCCUGGCUGAUCCCACCCACAGGUCACCGUAAGGAAAGUGAACGUUAUUCUGGGUGCAUUGGGAUGGGGAAGUCGUUGAAUGGUUGUGAGCACAAAAGUGAUGUGAGCUGAAUCAGGUUUUUAGGUCAUUCUGGCCACUGUGUGGCGCAUCCAGAGCAAGUGCAAAAACAGGAUCAAAGAAGGACCCCAAAGAGCACGUCCACAGAACACCUGCUGCUUCCAGAGGAGUCAGGCAGGCUCCCAGGGGUUCCCAUGGCUGCUGAGUUGCCACCUCAUGUCUAGUCAGCAGUGCUAACACCCCCGGGCCUGGAGGCCUCCUCUGUGUCCAGCAUGGUGCCCAGAGCUCUAAGUCACCCUGUCCUCCUGCCAGCUCUAAGAGAUGGUGCUAUAGGGCUCCCCAUUUUUAGGCAUGAGGCUCAGAGAGGGAAAGUGACUUGUCGAUGUCACACAGCCGCUCAGUGGCUGGCUGUGCCCAAACCUGGGGCUCUUUGGCCCCAAAGCCACUCUGCUCUCCUGACUCUAAGACCCUGGAAAGCCUCCAUUGUGUGCCUUUAUCCCACAGCCCGGCAGAACUGCCGCCAGCACCGUCGUGUCCCUCCGCAGCCGCGGUCUUCUCUCACCUGUUGCCUAUGGGCUACCGAGCCCUCCAGGACCCACUGGGUGAUCAUGAGCCCCUGUCCUGGUUCUGGAGAGUUUCUGCUUUGGUUGUGUCAGUGUGACAAAGUCCAGGAUGGUGGCAGCUGCACAAGGAGGCCCUGGGGUGUCCCUUAUAGUCCCUUUGGAGGGCGUGCAGUCUUGGCAGAUGAUUGGCCAGAGAGAGGCAGUUUCUCCAGCUGAACCCGGUGAGAUCCAGGAGACAGGGCAGCAGGCUUCUGGCCACCUAAAUGAUGCUGCGGGGAGAACCCUUGAAGUGCUUCUGUGGCUGUGCGGAGGCUGCAAUGGAGGCCCAGGGGAAAGAGAACUUCAGGCCUUUGGGCGUGACUUUGAUCAGACAGUGGGACCCAUGCCCUCUGUCCUUGGGGGCUGCUGGUUCCAUCCCCGCCCUUCACUACAUUCUUAGCAGAACAUAAAAGAUGCAGCCGAAGGCUCUGGGUUGGGGGGAGACAGGAGUCUCCUGGGCUGCACCCAGCUUUCUGGAUGAGCCA